AGGAUGUCUUAUAUCUUAAAGGAGUCCAGUAAAAGCCCCAAAACAAUGAAGAAGUUUCUUCAUAAAAGAAAGACUGAGAGAAAACCAUCAGAAGAGGAAUACGUGAUUAGGAAAAGUACGGCUGCUCUAGAGGAGGAUGCGCAGAUUCUUAAGGUGAUUGAAGCCUACUGUACCAGCGCCAAUUUCCAACAAGGUGCUCGGAAAGAUUCUGUUCCACAAGUCUUGCUCCCUGAGGAAGAGAAACUCAUCAUUGAAGAAACUAGAAGCAAUGGCCAGACCAUCAUUGAGGAAAAGAGCCUUGUUGAUACUGUGUAUGCCUUGAAGGAUGAGGUCAAAGAACUGAAGCAGGAGAACAAAAGAAUGAAGCAAUGCCUGGAGGAAGAAUUGAAGUCAAGAAGGGACCUGGAAAAGCUGGUCCGAAGGCUGUUGAAGCAGACAAACGAGUGCAUUCUGGCUGAAUCCAGUAGCAAGGCCUCGAUUCUUCCAUAACCACCACUGUGCAGCUGGGCGGAGCGUGCCUUCAGCGUAUCUUGAAAUGUCUGGCUGGAUGACUCGAUUCAGUUCUUACUUCUUUGGCUUUUGUUUUGUGUUUAAGUCUCUAUCUCUUUCUGUAUGUGUGUGUGUGUGUGUGUGUACACACACACAAAGUAUGUGUGUUUACUUGGGUACUUGUGGUUCUUUGGUUAUGAGUUAGUUGGUUGUUUUUGCAACAGGGGAAAAAGCAGAAGGUGGUCAUGGCCCCAGGGUCUUCUCCAUUCAGUAAGACGAGGAAAGCUAGCACAGGAGAUGACUUCAGUGCUCUUCAGAUGGCCUUCAUUUCACAGUGCCUCUGCGAUAGCUGUUGCCACUGACUCGUGCUUACUGCUCUGCCUGCUAUCUCACAGCAGCUAGCCAUGGCAGAUUAGAUACAGACCUGACUUUCGUGAACACUUCCCUGUAUGGCUUCCCUCAGUACUUAAUUUACUGAAUGUAACACUUCCUGAGUUUUGACCAUAGAAGGUGAAAGACUAACACAUGGCCCAGUGAUCUAGCUACCCUUUCCUAGUCUGAGACAUGCCACCCUCCAAUCAUGCUUUUUUUCUCACUGCCUUAUAUUGUCUGUAAGAUCAAGAAAACUGUAGUAGUUGUAUUCCUCCCAUGCUGGUGUACAUUUUAACUCAGUGGCACAGAAGUUGUGGUCACUCAUGCCAACAUCAAACCCACUGGCAAAUUGCAUUGGGCAAUCCUCCUUUCAGAGCAGAGUUGACCAGUUCUUCCCACUGCAUGAUAGGUCUUCUUCCUUAGCUUUCUGCCAUGUGUGUAAGUUUUCGAUUCCCCAGUGCUUUAAGCCAAGCAUACCAAGUGGUGUGUAAAAUGGUAUGUAUGUUUUGCUUACUUUUUAAAAAAUGUAGUUAGAAGGUGAGUAGUUAACUUUACAUUGCAUAUUCAAACUGUGACCUUUCAUCCUACAAGACAGCCUGCAUUGAGAAGGUAUUGUGCACCAUGAGAAGUUGUAAUAAUCUUUGGCCCCUUUUGAAUAGGACUCAAAGCAUUAUUUGCAGAAACAUGCUGUCGGUCCAGUUUGUAUAACCAGCAUCAAGGGGCUCCACUAGUAGCUGUGUUGGUUACUAAGCUAAUUACUUGGAAAUGCUUUAUGCAAGUUGCUUAUUGAAGCAAACCACAAGUGUAAAUAUCUCAGAAGUUCAAACUAAGAAAGCAGGUUUAGAAGAGAGUCACAGAACAGUGCAGAUCCAAAUUCAAAGUUGGCCCAAGACUCUGAGACUCUCCACUUCGCCUGAAGACAGAGGGCAUUUAUCUAGAUUGUGAAGAUCCUCGAGAGGCAAAAGGCCAAUAGGCUGGUGGAAGUCACCCUACAAAUACAUUUGAUAGGUGCCUAUAAAUGUUGGUUUUGCACAUGUUGUUAAGAAACCAGACUUGAAACCUGAGACCUCCAGGUUGCUGAGGAGCCCUUUUUCUUUCUGGUACAGAAGGCCUCAAGGUUCCCUAGAUGCAUGGUACAGGGCUGCUGUCUGUUUGGUGAACAGUAGAAGCAACAGCCUGCACAGACCACAGUGGACGCUUCCUGCAGUGCAGCCUCAGCCAAUCACACUCAGCCAUUCUUGGAAGCUCAAGAGUGAGGAUUUCUAGGAACGGCUGUUAUUCUGUUUUUAAGUACAGAAAUUUAGCUGUGACAUCUUGUAUGUAAAAAUUAAAAACACCAACAGUAAUCACCUAGAUGUUCACAUCUGCCCCCUCUGUGGUUAGUCAAUGGCUUACAAUAAAUGUGCAUACUAUAUCUAUAGGAAACACUUUUGUGAUUACAAAGUACUUUAGUUGAUCGCUUAAAAUACCGAAAGAUCUUUAUUUUAAAGUCAUGUGUACAUAUGCAUGUUUUUGGGACUUGGCCCUCCUGAUGAGAGGCCUUUGGUACUCUGAGUAACGAAGCUUGUGCAGAGUGCUGUCCGCGCUUACACACUAAACAAUAAUAUAAAGGAAAUGAAGCCAUGUUAAUCCGAGAGCAGUGUCUCAUAGUUGUGUUGUUUACAAUACUCUAUAAAUGGAUUCCUGUUACUCUGUAAUUAAUUUGCUGCCCUUAGAGGCCUUUCAGUUUCUUCUCUGUCAGAUCCCUUCUUACACAAGCCCAAAUUUUCUAACUUGUUUUUAUUUUAAAAACUUUUAAAAUUGACAUUUUCAAUAAAUAAGAAUAAACAGUGCUUUAUAAAAUAAGUCUUUGGUUUCCUUUUUGGCCAACUGGGGUGAAGAAAGAUUUCUCUUUAAUUUUUUAAAAGUUGUAUUUUAUAUUUAGUCGAUCCAUAAUUAUGGUGUAUAUUUAUGGGGCAUAGUGUGAUUAUGUCAGGCUAAUUGUAGUAUCCAUCACCUCAAAUAUUCACCUUAUAUUUGGGGUGAAAACAUCUGCUU
ensembl:lincRNA